rnacentral:rRNA from 1 species
CAGAACGUCGUGAGACAGUUCGGUCCCUAUCCGCCAUGGGCGUUGGAGGUUUGAGAGGAGUCGUCUCUAGUACGAGAGGACCGAGAUGAACAGGCCUCUGGUGUAUCAGUUGUCCUGCCAAGGGCAUCGCUGAUUAGCCACGCCUGGAUGGGAUAACCGCUGAAAGCAUCUAAGCGGGAAGCCCACCUCGAGAUGAGACCUCCCAUCCCCUUAGAGGGAGUAAGGGCCGUGGUAGACCACCACGUCGAUAGGCGGGACGUGCAAGCGCAGCAAUGCGUUCAGCGAACCCGUACUAAUUGCCCGAGGUCUUGACUUUG